UACGUAGGGAGCGAGCGUUAUCCGGAUUUACUGGGUGUAAAGGGCGUGUAGGCGGGACUGCAAGUCAGAUGUGAAAACUAUGGGCUCAACCCAUAGCCUGCAUUUGAAACUGUAGUUCUUGAGUGCUGGAGAGGCAAUCGGAAUUCCGUGUGUAGCGGUGAAAUGCGUAGAUAUACGGAGGAACACCAGUGGCGAAGGCGGAUUGCUGGACAGUAACUGACGCUGAGGCGCGAAAGCGUGGGGAGCAAACAGG
rnacentral:rRNA from 1 species